CGCCGUCCGGCCCGCUCGCCAGCGUCACCGCCUGGCACCAAUGGCAGCGCGGCGCGGCGGCGGCUCCGGGAGCGGGCGGCGGCGGGGGCGGGGCGGGGGGGCGGGGCGCGGCGUCUUCGCGCGCCCCGCGCCCUAACCUGGGAUUCCCCCGCGGGUGGGCGGUGCCUGCCGACGCGCUGGUGGUCGCCCCGCCUGCGUGCGGCCAUCCCUCGGGCAGUGGGAGCCCGCCUGCAUCCUCGGGUCCCCGCAGCCCCCCGCGCGGGCCCGACUGGCGCGGCCGCCGGACUGUCCACCCGACCGCGGGCCCCGGCGAGCGGACCCCGCGCUCGCGGCCAGUUUGCCUCCCCCAAAAUGAGAAGAUUGGGGAGGCACUUCAAGGGCCGGAAGCCUGAAUCUGCCUGUGCCCCUGGCGGUAGGACGAGCACCUGGCCGGCGGGCCUGUCUCCGCGGCUACUUCCGGAGCUACUCUCCCCGAGAUGGCAGAAACUAGACCCGGGUCCCACCGCGCUCACCUCACAGGCUCCCUCUUGGCGCCCAAAACCAAGCAGAAGCCACAGUCUAUAGAGAUCCAGUAACCUGUGACAUGAGAGAGACUACUCAGCCAUAAAAAGGAACGAAGUUGGGCCAUUUGCAGAGACGUGGCUGGACCUAGAGACUGUCAUGCAGAGUGAGGUUGGUUACAUGGAUUCCAGUCCAAACAGAAAAGCACGCAGCGGAAGAUGUCUGGAAAACUCUCUUAAUGCAAUAAAGGAAAACCCAUACAGUCCUUUCUUAACUUUAUCUUCUGGGGCCAACUAAUCUAUACAUUUCUAAUGGAGAUAAGUUUUCAAUAUUUAUCAAAUAACCAGUCCCUGCAUGGAGCCAUUAUAAAUUUCAUUUAUCACACACUGAUGCCUUUAGGACCUAUUAGGUAGGUGCUCAGGGAUAUUUUCCCCUAAACUUUCAGAAUGCUUGCUAGGAAUUCUCUUUUCAGUAUUAUUUAAUUAUGUUAAUGUUACUACUAUUAUGUUACUUUUUUUCUUUUUUUGUGUGUGGUACGCGGGCCUCUCACCGCUGGGGCCCCUCCCGUUGGGGAGCACAGGCUCCGGACGCGCAGGCCCAGCGGCCAUGGCCCACGGGUCCAGCCGCUCCGCGGCAUGCGGGAUCCUAUUAUGUUACUUUGCAUAGAGUCCCUUCUUCUCCUCAGUUAAAGCACUGAAGGUAUUGAACUUACUAGAUUAUGAAAUAUAAUCACAGAAUUUAGGGAAUUUACUUUUAGAACCAACUAAUAGUAAAGAGUUUUUUAUAAUAGAAGCUGCCUGUUGUGGCUACCCAGAGAGCUUCUCUCUUGCUAUGGGCUAAGAUAAUCAGCUUUAAACUGUGUCUGAAAUAAGAGCAACUAUGCCAUCAAUGUUGACCUCUGGAAAUCUUGUAAUCAAAAUCAAUUUGGUUAUAAGAAUUGAUUAUAAAAAUUGCUGUUUAGAGGCCUUCGUUGUUAUUUUCUUGGUCUUGGCUAAACUCUGCACAGCAGAGAUUGCUAUAUAGCCACUAGGUAAAUUAGGGGUUAUAUAUCCUAUGUUGUAUUAUAUCUUGAUUCAAGACAUGGAACAUGAAUUACCUUGGCUGCAUGUAACGAUCCUCAAGAGCAAGACAAACCUGUGGCAAUGCUGCUAUGCGGCGUCCUCUUUAUCCCUGGACAUUUUGUGCUGAGGACUGUUCAAUUCCAAGCUACAGUGCUAAAUGCUAAACCACUUCGAUUUUUAAAAUCAUACGUAGAAGGUGAAUACAUGAAUUUAAUUUCUUGCCUGCUUUAUUUUGUUCAUUCUGGAAUAAAGGAACGGAAGCAUCUUCUAGUUUAGACUUUGGAUGUCAGCACGGGGAAAGGUUACUACUACUUAGCUCAGUAUGCCAUAAUGUUUAAAAUAAAAAUUUCAAUAAAUAAAUUUCACUUCCUCUGUUUACUUUGCCUCCUGUUUGACAGAUCUGCAGAAACAGCAGAAACCUUGAAUUUUUAAAAAUAUGAUUUCAGUCGUCCAGGCUUGCUCUUGUGAUUUAAUCACUGCCACAGUCCCCUCCCCACUCUUGGGGGUUGGGGAUGUGUGAUGAGGAGGAUAGUUGCAGUAACUGUAAUGGCAGAAUGGGUCAGGGGAGGCACAAGGAAAGGGCCAUAAACAAAAGAGCUUAAAUGUAUUAGAAAAAAACAGGGUUUCUAGAGGCUUGUGAUGUUUUGAAUGUCAACCUGUAAUCCAACUCUAAAAGCAGAAAGUAAUCACAGGAGAAAAAAAAAUUGCCAGCCAACGGAAGGUCAUCAAGGUUGUUAAAAGGGAUAUUCAAGUGCAAAUUCACAGGUACACAUGUACAUGUACGGAUACACUUGCACAUGUGGCCAAUCGCUACUCGGAUCCAGAACUGGGUCAGGGUUUUGAGAGAUGGGAGAGCAGAGAGCUGGGUGAGUGGCAACCAGACAUAAAGAAAUGCCUUCUCUGUAAGCCAAGGAUUCCAAAUGAAACUUGAUUCAGAGAAUUUUUUUAAACUUUUGCUUUUAUUCAGUUCAAGGCUUAUAGAAAAAUAACCUCUAGCUUGAACUGUUUGCAAAUGUUUAUUUUUAGCUCUCUAUUCACCCUUAACUGCAUAAAGGAGUGAAGAAAAGAAGCAAAAUAAAGCUAAAAAAUAAGAAAAUAGCCAUACUUUACCUCUAGUUCAGAUAUACUCACAAGCUUUCUAAUUCAUGAUCAAGAAGUCUAAAUUUGGACUAAGGAAAAAAGAUACUAUCACACACAUCCUCUUCAGUCAGGAAGAGAAAGUUAAUAGUAUCUGCAAAGCCUUCAAACCACAGGAAUUCAGAGACACUUAACAUCAAUUAUUUAAAUGACUACUAACCUAUUGCAGAGCAAAGGAAAAAGAGAACAAACUGUUUAGGUCACUGACCAGACAUAUAAACACUAUUUUCUUCCUUUUCCUUCCGAUAAAAAAGGAAGAUAGCAACCUAAUGAUUUCCCAGAUUAAAGCCAAUCAAUCACCUGAAAGCUAUUGCUCUGUCCAAGAACUAUUUUUAAAUCUUUAGGCAAUUUUUUUAGCUUUCAAAAAUAGUUUCUUACUUACUGAAAAAAUUCUUACUUCACAUAAUAUGUAUGUCACAAGUGCGCUUGUGCUCAACGUUAGUGGCCAAUGUUUAAGUUUUUAUAUGCUGACAGCAAAGUCAGAAUACAUUUUACUUCUUUUAGAGGUAAGAGAGAAAAACUGAGAACUCUAAGAAUAUUGCCUAAAGUAGGAUUAGAAAAGAACUUUGCUAUACUAUGCCUUCAACAUUUCUCAAUGUUCAUAAGACAAAAAUCACUUUAAUGCUAAACAGAUUUUGAAAUGUUAAAUUUUUCAGUGCCUUCAGUUCAAAAUUACUAAAAGGUAGCAUAAAAACUUGUCUUUAUAUGCUUUUAUAUCUGUAUGAUUGAUAAUAUUAGGUAAUUAUUGCUAACUGUGAAGCUGUGAUGAUUACUGUGGUUGUUUUAAAAGUCAUUAUCAUAUAUUUCAUAUAUACCAAAUAUCACAUGUAACAUGAUAAUUGGGAUUUGUUUCAAAACCAUUCAAGAAAAGCAAGUAAACAUGACUGACUAUGAGCUGAUAAUUGUUGAAGCUGGAAUAUGGAUACGUGGGGGUUUCAUUAUACUCCUCUCUCCAUUUCUGUAUAUAUCUGAAAUUUUUCAUAAAACUUAAAAUAAGUGUUUACAAAAUCCCACCUAAGGGACUCUUAAUGUUGUCAUCUAAAGGAGUUGAGUCAAACUGUAAAGCUGGUCAUUUAACUUUGGGACAGAAAAUGAGAAAUAUUCAUAGUGUAAUACGGAAGAGAAAGGCCAAGUAAGGUGUUUUGUUGCAGUAUGCAUCCUUACCAGAAGUCCGGGAAUAAAGAAACGUGAUUAUAGAGUUUAAAAGAAAUACAGCCACCAGUGAAUAAAAGAUUCCACCAAGUCCAUGAACUAAGGUGGGUGUUAUAAUGGUACUUUUACAAAUCCGGAAGAAAUUAACCUACCUAUCCACAGAAUUAGAAGACUGAAUAUAAUAAAAGUUAUAUAUUUUCUGUAAUCCAUCCUGGAUAAUUACUGUUUAUUUACAAUAAUGAAUUAAACUACUAGGGCACUGCAAAUUAUACAGAUUUAUUUUUUAUGAGUUUUCCAAAAUAAAAUAAAAUGUACUCUUCUUUCAACCAGAAAGGACAUCAUUUUAAAAAAAGGAAAGUUAGAAGAGAAUUAUAUUAAGUAAUUUAGAGAGAAACAAUUUAGAAAGAAUUCAAGAACCCCCCCACCCCCACCAGAGAAUUAAUGAGCAACAUUCAUUAAUGUUAAAGGCUGAUUAAAAGGCCAGAGACCUCCAUCACAAGGAAUAACUCAAGGGUAAUAAUCCCUUUUCCCCACUCCCUACCCCCCAAGUUUUUCUAUAAACAACUGCAAGGAUAAAAUGUCAACCACUUCAGAAAUAUGAAAGAUUCUACAAAUAAGCUUAAUAGAAUGAUUUACGGUAUUUGGAUAAGCCUAACAACGUCUCCUAAACUUAUAGUAUUCCCCUUACAUGGUAUUUUCUUUGUUUUCUGGAAAGAAGCUUCUCUAAUGAAGAUAGCGGUAUGUUAGUGACCCUGCAAAAAAGAUGUACCAGAGAUAAGCAGGAUCUCACUGAGAGGUCCUUAGACUUUUUAUAGUAACAUAGAAUGAAUUCUGGAUUUAGACUACUCCCAGAUUCCUUGCAGUCUUAGAGUUUAUUUUACAUUCAUGGUUCCUAUAUUUGAAAUAGUAUUAGACAUUUAAAAAUAUUAAAUUCAAGGGUUUUUUUUUCCCUUGAGUUAUCUUCCACUCCUUUGUUCUUUCAAUCUAAAGAAUCAGAUAUGGACACUGUUCAAAUCAACAUGCUAGGCUACAACCAUGAUAUAAACAAUAAACUCAACUGCAUAAUCAAGAUAUUAAAGGAGACCCUUUACCUGAUUUGCUAUUAUUUGUUAAAUAAAUGCUCCCUUUUUGCUCUGCAAUCUUACUACAUGUAUACAUAAAAGAAACUGGCUCAUUUCUAAUGUACAUAAUAGUAGUACUGAAUAAUACAGUACACCUUCCCAGAAUUCCAGAGAUGUUAUACUCACAUAACAGGCUCUGGAGACAGAAUACCUGGAUUUGAAUCCUGGUUCCCUCAGUCACCAACAAAUUGCUUAAUUUCUCCAUGUUUCAGUUUCCAUAUUUUUAAAAUGGGGAUAAUAAUAAUUCCUAGCUCAUAGCAUUGUGGGGAAGUUUUAUUGAAUUAAUGUGUGUGAAACAACUUGGAAUACUGCCCACCUGGGCACUCAAUACUAACUAAGCUAAACUGUAUUUACAUAUUGAAAACAACAGAAACUGGACAAGAAGGCUUAUUGACUUAGGCUCCAAAAGGACCUUGUUAUAAAAGACUGAAAUCUGAGCAAUGUUUCAGUAUAUCUGAUACUACUUGUGGGGUUUUUUUUAAAACCUAUUGUUUGUAGUACCUGAUUUAUUACACUAAAUUCAUCAGAGAAAAGUGAAAUACCUCCCUUGUGACAUAACAGCUGUAACACAUAUCAGGACUGAAACUGUGUUUAUUAUUUAUAACUGUACAAAGUCAUCUCAUAGUAGUCAUGGUUCUUGGUAACUAAUCAAAUUGCUCAGGAAGCUAUUCUGACAGUUUCUUGGUAGGUCCAACUUUAAAACCUUUAAAAUGAAGUAAGAGAUGGUGCUACUAUUGCUUUGCAGAUAUUAAAUUUCACCUGCGGCUUGAAGACUCAGUCCUUUCCAAAAGAACACGCUAAUUUCUUUGGUUGAAUUCUCUACCAUUUUCUAUUGUAUAUCCUUUAUUCAUUGAAUAUGUAUUCCACAGAUAGCAAAGUUUAGUAUUCCAAUAAAAAUCUUUCAGAAAAAUUAAUAUUUCUCUAAUACAAGGCCAUAAUAUAAACUUUGACUUUCUUUAAACCUACUUUCAGUUUAUAGUAUUGUGUACUGACUUUGUAAAGAAAUACAUAUUCUGAAUUUUCUGAUUGCACAUAAAAAUCCCCAAAAUAGAAUCAUCAACAGUGGCUCUCAAGGAAUUCAGAUGAAAUUAAGAGUGUUUUAUAAAUAGUUGCCAGGUGAUUGCAACUGGUCUUCUAAAGUCCUUUGUUAAAUUACUUAAAUUAGAAGAUGUAGAAAUCUAAUCUCAUUCAGGACUGUUGAGAAAUAGUGUUGAUGUUCUUAAUUGUGAUAUAAUUAACAAUAACAUCACUGUAAUAUGCUGUGUUGGUUGAAUAUAUCUGGCAGACAAAGUAGCUUAUGAACUGGCAGAGACGGAACUCAGUAAGUCAAUGACCUUUACACAAAUGUGAUUUCUAAAGAGUAAACAGAACGUAUAAAUUUUGUAAAUCGUACACUCAGAGACUUGUUUUUAUUUUAUUUACUUUUGACAGGUGGACUGGAGAGUAAACUAUAAAUAGAAUUUAAAGUAUACUAUUCUUUUAAAAAAUCUUGCAUACCAUAAACAUGUAUAUAGACGUUAUCUUUAUAUCAUAUAUGUACUUCCAAACCUAGAACAGGAUAAAGCAAAGUACUAAUUGGAGAAGGGAAAAACUUAAAAAAAAAAAAAAGGUUGAGUCCUUUUGUAAAAUCAGAAAGCCUUUAAGCAUUCUUGCAAAACUCAAAUAUAAAUAAACUCAAACUCCUCCUUCUUUGAUUCUACUGAGAUAAAGUGCUCUGAUUUAGGUGAGUUUUUGUUUUGCUUUGACUUUAGGGGAGCUACCAAAUAAAAUUAGCAAAAUAUUUCUAGUCACUGGCACUCCAUAUUAGACUCCACAGAAUCCCCAGAAAGACGACUGCAUUUUAAAAAGCAAAAAUGGGGACUUCCCUGGUGGCACAGUGGUUAAGAAUCCACCUGCCAAUGCAGGGGACACGGGUGAGAGCCCUGGUCGGGGAAGAUCCCACAUGCCGCGGAGCAACUAAGCCCAUACGCCACAACUACUGAGCCUGCGCUCUAGAGCCCCCACGGCACAACUACUGAAGCCUGCGCACCCAGAGCCCACGCUCCGCAACGAGAGGCCACCGCAGUGAGAAGCCCGCACACCGCAACAAAGAGUAGACCCCGCUCGCUGCAAGUAGAGAAAGCCCAGUGUGCAGCAACGAAGACCCAACGCAGCCAAAAAUAAAUAAAUUUAUAAAAAAAUAAAAAGCAUAAAUAUACACCCCUAAGUUCAUAGCAGCACUAUUUACAAUAGCCAAGACAUGGAAACUACCUAAAUGUCCAUCGACAGAUGAAUGGAUAAAGAUGUGGUGUAAUGUAUGUGUGUAUGUAUGUGUACACACACACACACACACAACACAGCCAUAGAAAAGAAUGAAAUGAUACCAUCUGCAGCAACAUGGAUAAACCUACGGAUUAUCAUACUACGUGAAGUAAGCCAGAAAGAGAAAGACAAAUACCAUAUGGUAUCACUUAUAUGUGGAAUCUAAACUAUGACGCAAAUGAACUUAUCUAUGAAACAGAAACAGACUCACAGACAUAGAGAACAGACCUGUGGUUGCCCGUGGUGGGUGAGGAGGGGGUUGGGGGAGGGAUGGAGUGGGAGGUUGGGAUCAGCAGAUGCAAACUAUUACAUAGAGAAUGGAUAAACAACAAGGUCCUGCUGUAUAGCACAGGGAACUAUAUUCAAUACCCUGUGAUAAACUGUCAUGGAAAAGAAUAUGAAAAAGAAUACAUAUAUUUGUACAACUGAAUCACUGUGCUGUACACCAGAAACCAACACAGCAUUGUAAAUCAACUAUACUUAAAUAAAAUAAUUUUUAAAAAUAUAAAUAUAAAGCAAAAGUGGUACCCAUUAAAAUAUAAAGCUAUUUUAUUCUUUGGAAAAACCGAAGACUUAAAGGUUUCUUAAGAGUAAACAUAACCUUAUGAGUGAAUGUGUAAGACUACACAUAGCUAAAUUUGAUCUUUAAGACCUCCCCAAAUAAGAACAUUUCAAAGUGAAUCAUCAACUGUAUACAUACACACAUUUACAUAUACCACACAGAGAAAAAGUCUAGAGGGUAGAGAGCAAAAACAUUAACAGUAUUUAUACUAAGUAAAAGAAUUUUAUAAACGGUAUUGUUUUCUUUAAAAUGUUUUACAAGUUUUUCAAUAAUCCUAUCGCUUUCUAAUCAGUUACGGAAUUAGAAUAAAACAAUAACAAACAAAACAAUGAAGUUUACAUUUUUAAAACUAAAUACAUAAAAUAAAUAGACUACGACCAAGAAAGGGCAAAUAAGACAAGCUAGAUAAACACCUGCUUUUAGAAAACACUGGUCAAGUACAUGGAGACAUCACAGAAAGGAUAAAUGUCAUUCAUCUUACUGUGGAAGAUAAGUUAUAUUUCAUUGAUUGCUAAGUGGCAAUCACACUAACCUACUUGAUAAUGCACAAUUAUGAUUACCUUUCUAAGUAGUUUAUCUUAAAAAAAAGUUACGCCUUAGCUAAAAUUAAUACUAUAGGACCACAUAGGUAACGACUAUGUUUUCAAACAGAUAAGAGUAGAAGUGGGUACUACUGUUCCUGCCUUUGUACUACCUGAUGUACCUAUUCUGGAACAUCUCCCUUCUGUACUUUUGAUUAUCUUUGGUGUUAUGUC